rnacentral:piRNA from 1 species
UGUGUAGGUAGAGUGCAGAGGAAUGGG